GACGAACGCUGGCGGCGUGCCUAAUACAUGCAAGUCGAGCGAAUGACGAGAAGCUUGCUUCUCUGAUUUAGCGGCGGACGGGUGAGUAACACGUGGGCAACCUGCCCUACAGAUCGGGAUAACUCAGGGAAACCUGGGCUAAUACCGGAUAAUCCUUCGAAUCACAUGUUUUGAAGUUGAAAGGCGCUUCGGCGUCACUGUAGGAUGGGCCCGCGGUGCAUUAGCUAGUUGGUGGGGUAACGGCCUACCAAGGCAACGAUGCAUAGCCGACCUGAGGGGGUGAUCGGCCACAUUGGGACUGAGACACGGCCCAAACUCCUACGGGAGGCAGCAGUAGGGAAUCUUCCACAAUGGACGAAAGUCUGAUGGAGCAACGCCGCGUGAGUGACGAAGGUUUUCGGAUCGUAAAACUCUGUUGUAAGGGAAGAACAAGUACGUUAGGAAAUGAACGUACCUUGACGGUACCUUACUAGAAAGCCACGGCUAACUACGUGCCAGCAGCCGCCGUAA
rnacentral:rRNA from 1 species